CUCCACGUUUUAUUUCCCUUUGCGCUUCCUCUUUCUUCUUACUCCUUCCUUUCGCCCUUGCCCUCCGGCUCGGGUUCGCUCCCCGCGUCCCUCCGCUUUUGUUACCCCUCCCUCGCUCCCUCCCGCUCCCCGCCCCCGCGUGGCACUGCGGAGCCGGAGACGUGACCCGAGCGGACUCGCUUCCCUGCAGCUCCAGCCUCUCGCCGCAGAGUCGCAUGUCCUCGAUCCAGAACCUCCAAUCCUUCGACCCCUUUGCUGAUGCAACAAAGGGUGACGACUUACUCCCGGCGGGGACUGAGGAUUACAUUCAUAUAAGGAUCCAGCAACGAAACGGAAGAAAGACACUAACAACUGUUCAGGGCAUUGCAGAUGAUUAUGACAAGAAGAAACUUGUGAAAGCUUUCAAAAAGAAAUUUGCUUGUAAUGGUACUGUGAUUGAGCAUCCUGAAUACGGUGAAGUUAUCCAGCUGCAAGGUGACCAGAGGAAGAACAUUUGCCAAUUCCUCUUGGAGAUUGGCAUUGUCAAGGAAGAACAACUGAAAGUUCAUGGUUUCUAAUAUACCUGUACUCUUAUGAGGAACCCUGCAGUAUUGGUCUUACCUAUCCUGGCUCUUCUGUGAAAAAUGAAUCUUUGCAGUGAAUGGACUUCCCCAUUACCUGAACAUUUACAGUUUGAUUUGCAUGACUUCAUGAAACAGGUGGUGUGUAGACUAGAAACACAUAAGAAAACUUCAGUAAGAUGAUUUUUGAGUUCAGAAAUGAACCCUUAAGGCACUAGCAACAAUUAGGGGAGCAUUACAUGAUGAUUUCUUUCUCCGUCUGGUCUAGACAAUUCCACUUGUAAAAAUCUAGUCUCUCAAUCUCCACAAAUUCCGCCUGAUGUUACAGAUCUUAACUGUUCCAGAGAAAGGAUGCUCCAGAAGAUGGUAUACUCUUAAGGUGCAAUACAUUCAGGAGGAGGAAAUGCCUCAUGCAAAGCAUAAAAUACCCACAUACCAAAUGGAAAUCCAAAAAUAAAUCUUAUGCAAGUCUUGUAGAUGAGCAGAAUAAAGUCAUUCUAGUGCAAGUUUACCUAGUAUUGAUUCUUAACUGCUGAAGUAAUGAAUCUUUUGGGGGUACAUAGCAAUUAGUGUUUUUCAUUUUAUCACAUACCAGAAAAAACUGAUGUUCUCAUUUAAAGUUUGUUCUCCUGCUCCAGAGUUAAAACAAGCAGUAUCUUCUAUUUCACUGGUAUUAUACAAGUACUUCUAGUGGGCUUUGAAUUGAAGAUUAACAAAUGACUCGCAGGUCUCGUGUUACUGAGUCAGUCUUCAUUUCAGAUGGCAUUCCAUUAACUUUUGCUACCUAAGCUUGAGUCAUUUCUCCAUAGUCAUUCUGCUUGGAAUAAAUAAGAAAAAUCUUUGAUUUUCUUCCUUCUCAUUUAAAAAUCCUUUCUAAUAGAAGGAACCUUGCAGUUGGUAGGUGGCUUGGUUGGCGAUGCUUGUGUUUUGACCUUUGAAGGGCAAAAUUAUAAGGAGAUGGAAUAAGACGUAACACAGUUGAAGUUUUAAAGAGGUGAGAUUUGUUGUGGCAACAAACCAUUUGAUCUUUCUAGCAGGAAAGCAGAAAUUUUUAUCCAUGAGUAUUUUUAACUGAAACAGUGUUUCUAAGAGUGUAAUUAGCCUUGGUAUAAGCCCAAACCUCUUGUAUGUUCUAGUUGAAAAGCUUUGACAAUACCAUGUUUUGUCAUCUUACUCUGAAGCUUCUUUGUCAAAGCUAAACUUAUUUGGAAUACUUAUCUGUGUUUUAAAAAUGCUGAAAAUGAAGGCUUUGAAAGCAACUUGUUAAAAUGCUGCCACAGAAAUCUGUUUUCAGAAUGAAGACAGGUUUCAAUCUUUUCAUCCAUUCGAAAAUAGAUUAAAAAAUGUUGAAGGAUGUGGCCCAUAAUUGCCAAGGCAGUAAAAAUGAGCUUAUGAUAGAAAACUCUGUUGAAGUCUAUUAGUAGGACCUGAGGCUGGCCAAGCUCAGACUGCAAAAAAUGAAGGUUUUUUUGUUGGAAUGUUGUGAAGUCUGCGUCCUUCAGACCUACCAGUCAAGAUUGCCUUCUUAGUGAUACUUAGGCUUAAUCUCAAGGUGUUACUGAAUGUAGAAGCUUGUUUUGAAUUCACAGCCUUGUGCAUAGUUUUAUUAGGCUGUUCUAGCUGACUGUGAGCUGAUACCUUGGAGUAAGGUACUGCAUAAAUAAAGUCACUAAUUUGUCUCUUCUGAGUCUACAUCUACUUAAUGCAGCUAUGAGCAAUGCAACCCUCGCUUCCCAAAUGCUGCUGGCAGUUCUUGUUUGUAGAAUAUGAGAUUUAGUAAUUUAAGUCUGUAAGACGCCUACUUUCUCUUACUGUGUGAACUAUCAGGCCCUUGACUGUCACCUGUGGUCUACUAAAUCUGACUCUGUCUCAGAGAUGAGCAUGAGGAGCACAACUAUGGGCAGAUAAUUCUUGAGUGGAGUAACCUCUGAAAAGAGGAAUGCCUGGGCUGUGUGUGCAUGCUAGUCAUUGCUUCAAUGGCUUGGCUUGAACCUUUAUUCCUGGACUCCAUUUUUGCACAGCCUAAAUGAAUAACUUUUUGUUUUGGAGAGCUUCUUUGGAGGGGGAGGAGGAAACUAGUAAAAAAAAAACUGUCUUAGGAAAUAUGUUUGUAUCUGGAGUUUGUUUUCAUUAACUUAGAUUCCUGGACUGCAAGACCUCUGUAACAUUUUUGUUUCUCUCUCUGUAUCUUUAAAAAUCCUAGUUAAAUGUCCUUGAAAGUUUGACAUUUAAGGCUCUAAAUACAUCUAAAGCCAUUAUAAAACUCUAAAAUGCAAAGUCAUUGAAGCUUAAGUUUCAAAUAUUUGAAAUAACAAUUAAGCAGAACUCCUCAUUUUUUCCUAUACUGCCAUCCUGCUUCUAGUUGGUAUGUAGUUGCCCUGAAGAUGCAUGUGUUAUUUACAGCCAGGCAGUAAUCAGAUAGCCUUGCUGUAAUGCCAUACCCUGUUUGUAGGUUUUUUAAAUUUUAUCUGACGUGCUGCACUCUUACAGGCUGUACCACUCUAAUUUUGCAGUAUAGGACAGAUGUACCUUGAGUUCCAGUCAGCAGGUAAUUCCUUAUUCCUUCUGCAAGGCUGUAGUGUACAGGAUUCCUGUAUUACAUCUUUAAGUGGUCAGUAGUUCCUCACACAAUGUGAAAAUGUAUACAAGUAGAUAUUUAGCCUGUUAAAGCAGGGGGAGGUGUUUUUUACAGCUGACUCUGAGACACAGAAGGAGUUACUGUUCCUUUUAUCUGUUCAGUGUUGAUCGGUGUCACUGAGCAUUCCUCUAACUCAUGUGCUGCUGCCACUGGGGAGAUGGAAGUGGGUUUAGAGGGCUGUGUGUAUUUAAGUGCUAUGACCUUCUGCAUCUAUACUCAGUCAGGAAUCUGUCCCCUGAGCACGGCAACAUGAAGGUUGUUUUCCAGUUGCCAGAUCAAAAGCUCUUGAGAUCAUUAAGGGAAAAGUGGCAUAGCUGUUUUAUGUUUGCUGUAUAGAUGUUUCAUGCCUACUGUUUCCCAUUUAGAUUAAAAAUACAAAAAUAAUCUCAAAAGAGGAUUUGUACUUGGCUUGCCUUUUUUAAAGUUUGCUGUGUGCCUGUCAUUGAUCUCUUAAUGAACAAGUCUUAACGUGUAUUGGAGCAUUGCUACAGAGCUGAGACAACAAAGUCUUUUAAAAUAAAGUGUUCCAGUGUUAUUUGAUGUAUGCUUUUCUAAAACAAAUGGAAUUUUAUGCUGUUUUUAAGGAGGAUUAUAUUUUUUUGGUGGAAGACAAAAGAAACCUAAUUUAAUAGAGAUGUGUGUGAUCCUCUUGUAAAAUCAGCUUUGAUUUCAUACAGAAAUGUUGUAUUUCCUCCCUUAAAUUUCUAACAUAAUCUGUAUUAACCAACUUAAAAAUACUGUGACUUCUGGAAUAUUGUGGCUCUAAAACAAGAUGAUUGGCUUGAGGUCUAAAACUUUGGGUAGAGGAGGAUCAUCUAAUUUCUUGAAUAAGCAAAAUGCACAGUAUUUUAGACUAAAGCCAGAAAUGUGAUCAAGUUUGUUUUCAGCUCUUUUUAGAGUAUCUUGCAUCUGUGAAAUGUGACAGCACAUUUCUGAAAUGAAUUUGGGGCCUGAUUAAAAUGACUUGUGUAUACAAUAAAUGGGGUUAUUUUUA